rnacentral:ncRNA from 1 species
CUGAAUUCAAUGACGGACCCGAGUACGUUAAAAAGCUGUUUCAGAGAGAGGCUUUAUUUUGCUGAGAAAAGCCUCAUCAGACCUUUAACGGAAGCUAGUCCCGAGUGCAGAUAAACACUGCCGCUCUCUUCCGGCGUUAUCGGAUGUGAAGGUGAUAGACGAAUUUGUCUAUAAUCAGGGUGGUACCGCGAGAACAUCUCGUCCCUGUG